GUGACAUUUUCUAAGGCUCCCAUAGGCUCUCAGAAGGCGCCAGAACGGGGAAUGAUAACUCUGCAGUCCCUGGGCGAAAAACAGUAGGGCUUUUGGAAAGUGGUUGUUCUGAGAACAAUGACACUGUUGCGCGCGUGCAUGUGAAGACUCCAUUUUCUAUUUUCAGUGUUUGAAUGAAAACAAUGUCUCCCAGUUGGAAUAUUAUCGCUAUUUUACGAGAAAAAUCGCAUAAAAAUUGAUUUUAAACAGCGUUUGACAUGCUUCCAAGUACGGUAAUGGAAUAUUUGGAAUUUUUUUGUCACGAUACGCACCGGCGCGUCACCCUUCGGAUAGUGUCUUGAACGCAAGAACAAAACGCAGCUAUUUGGAUAUAACUAUGGAUUAUUUGGAACUAAAACAACAUUGGGUGUUGAAGUAGAAGUCCUGGGAGUGCAUUCUGACGAAGAACAGCAAAGGAUGAAAAGAUCAGAAUGAUCAAAGAAGAGAGACGGUGACAUGGAAACCUUGAGGAGACGCAUGACAGUGAAGCAAUAGCUUAUGACUACUGUGAAGUUCAUCACCAUACUACCAACCGCAUGGUAGCGCCAGAUAACAAUCAAGGGACCUGAGCCCUAGGACCAUGCCUCAGGACUACCUGGCAUGAUGACUCCUUGCUGUCCCCAGUCCACCUGGCCGUGCUGCUGCUCCAGUUUCAACUGUUCUGCCUGCGGCUAUGGAACCCUGACCUGUUCACCGGACGUGCUACCUGUCCCAGACCUGCUGUUCUCAACUCUCUAGAGACAGCAGGAGCGGUAGAGAUACUCUCAAAGAUCGGCUAUGAAAAAGCCAACUGACACUUUCUCUUGAUUUGCUGACUUGUUGCACCUUCGACAACUACUAUGAUUAUUAUUAUUUGACCAUGCUGGUCAUUUAUGAACAUUUUAACAUCUUGACCAUGUUCUGUUAUAAUAUCCACCCGGCACAGCCAGAAGAGGACUGGCCACCCCUCAUAGCCUGGUUCCUCUCUAGGUUUCUUCCUAGGUUUUGGCCUUUCUAGGGAGUUUUUCCUAGGGAGUUUUUCCUAGCCACCGUGCUUCUUUCACAUGCAUUGCUUGCUGUUUGGGGUUUUAGGCUGGGUUUCUGUACAGCACUUUCAGAUAUCAGCUGAUGUACGAAGGGCUAUAUAAAUACAUUUGAUUUGAUUUGAUUUCUGGAAUUCUCUGGUUUGAGCUCCCCAAUUGUAGACCCUCCUCUGCUUUUCUUGGGCUUGGGCCAUAUGAUCUCUUACCAUUGGCCACAACUUCUGCAUCUGAUCACCCAUUUCAGCCACAUGGUCAAUGAGAAUGGGAUGUGGGCUUGACUCAGUCUCCCAGGUCUCCUUUGCAAUGUCCAGGAGGCCCCGUGGUUGUCGUCCAUAAAGGAGCUUGAACGGGGAGAAUCCAGUUGACGCCUGGGGUACCUCCCUUAUGGAAAAGAGAAAAUAUGGCAACAACUGGUCCCAGUUCCUUCCAUCCUGGUCUACUAUCUUACGGAGAAUGCUCUUUAAGGUUUUAUUAAAUCUUUCAACGGGCCCAUCUGUCUGAGGGUUGUGGGGGGAAAUUACAAAAUUACUUAUGCUACCCCGUGUUUUAUUGCUUAAAGAAUUGUCUCUUGUUAUAUGUUAGUGUUUUUUUCUAACCUGAUACAAACUUGUCUUUGUGUGACUUAGUCAUAAGACUGGGCGUAUAGCUAAGAUCCGUUUGGGUGCAGGAAGUCAGCGGUAUGGAAACUUGCAGGAAGGAGCACAUUAUAGUGUGAACUGUGAUAAACGCAGUUAUGGGGUUGAGCCCUCGUGCUAUCAACCUUGGACUAUCUUAAUCUGCACAGACAAACCAAUCUCCUUUUACACACUAUGUUCCGCCACUGUUUCCACACAUCUGCUAACUGCGACCUAGACAAAAAACAUUUGUACUUUUUCUAUAAAAGCUGAGACCCAACUAUGUUCAUUGGGCUUUUAACCCUGCACUAUUUGAGUGAUUGUUGAUUGCUCCAUUUUUGCAAAUCUUAUAAUAAAAUAGCUUUCUG
rnacentral:lncRNA from 1 species